UUUAGGGGUUUUUCUAUUAUUGAAGCCCUGAGGGUGUCUACAACCCCAAUCCCUUUACCUAUCAGUUCAAAUUUUAGGAUAAAAAUUUACAUGGUAUCAGAAAGUAUUUUCAUCAUAUCCAGGUGCCUGCAAUACAUGUAACCAUACGUGCGAAGGAAUGUUGGGUUCUUUUCUUCUGCUUCAGCAACAACAGGAGAAGCUUAAUUUUGAAAUUUGAGUGUCUAGUUUUGAGAUCUAAUAUCAAUUAUUGUUCAACGCUAAAGGGAGAUGCAUCUUACAACUGUUGGAGGGCGUACUUUGAACUAAAAAAAACUAGAAACGGUAUACCCAAAAGAAGAAGUAGAGAUUGUUCUUCAGUCAGAGGGCGUGAAGUCUCUGAUUGACUACAUGCAUGGGGUUUCGACAAUCGGAGGAAGAAGGAGAUUAAUGGAGAUAUGGAAUCGCGAAAACAAUCAAAUCUGGAGAAACAAAAGGGGACGCCUUGUCUGGGUGCCUAGAUCUUACUUGCUGAAUUUUUUCCUAAAGUCUGGAAUCUUGCUAGUUGCUAUAAAUCCAGAUAGAGAAUAAGAGUGAGAGAAAGAGAGAGAUACCUCACCGAUGAUGAACAAACACCUUUCUCAGUCCUUCAUUAGCAAUGGGAAGUUCAUCGUCUCUCGAUGAAGGUAAGUAUAAUGGGUUAAAAAUCGAAUUGAUAGGGUUUUUGGUAUAAUGGUUAAAACAAGAGUUUUUUAAGGGUAAGGGUAUAAUGGUCAUUUUGACUCCAUACUCAACAUUGACUAACGGUAGGGGGUCUAAGAAUAAUUUGGUGAA